rnacentral:lncRNA from 1 species
UGAGAAUUAAAAUCCUAAAACAGAAGUAACAGGCUGUUUUCUAGUUCAAAGACCAGACCAGAGUAAGUGUGAUUUCAUAUUAUGUUGUCUUCUUAUUACCAUAACUUAAACAUCAAAUGAAAUAAUGAUAAAAAACAAUGACGUAGAAAUAGAAGUGUGUCGUCACUUUUACAAAACCCAUCCCUCGAGUAUUGCAUGACAAUAAUAAUAUUAUUUUCAAAUCCUUAUAAAAAGUCUAGUAUGUAACUCAAUGUAAUAUCAUAACCGAGUAUAGUUUGCUGUUCCUCAAAAUAGAACUGAGCAUAACAUGCACUUCAUACCUCUUAAAUAUUUGAUAUAUAUUGAUCAAUUAUUUGUAACUUCCACAUGAUUAUUGUAGAAACCGGCAGAAUUGGUAUGAUUGCAAUUGAGACAACUAUCCACCAAAAUUCAAAUAAAAGGCAUCAAAAUAAAUUGAAUAAAAUUGAGAAUGGAAUGGAAAUGUGUAAAAAGCAACAACCGACAAAAUAAAAAAACAACAGCAAGGUCAACAGUUCAUGUAGCGAGAAUUCCGCCCGGAGGCGUUUUAUUUGAACUGGUGAUAUUCUCUUCAAGUACAAUGUCCGGCCGACAUGUUGCCGUCAUUUCCGAUCUCGCUAAUGAUAAAGAUUGUUUCUCAGAUAAACUAUUGAUUAAUGAAUUGUUGAUGGAUUACAGACCGUUGGUAUUAAUUGUGUAUAUGUAUAUUCAAGACGAGACGAAAACAACAAUUAAUACAAUAGAAGGGUUCUAUAGUGUUAUGAAUUUAUCAUCCACUUUUCAACAGGACGUUACUGUGUAUUAGCUGAAAUUGGACACAACCAAACAGAGCAAGGCAUUCAACACUAGGCAAUAGGAUAUUAUCAUAUAUCUAUUAAUCAUUUACAGAAGGCACCAAUUGUUUUCUAUUGAAAAACAAAACAAUCGCCCCCA